GAGGAAAAGAAACCAACAGGGAUUGCCUUAGUAGCGGCGAGUGAAGCGGCAAAAGCUCAAAUUUGAAAUCUGGCACUUUCAGUGUCCGAGUUGUAAUUUGAAGAAGGUAUCUUUGGGUCUGGCUCUUGUCUAUGUUUCUUGGAACAGAACGUCACAGAGGGUGAGAAUCCCGUGCGAUGAGAUGUCCCAGACCUAUGUAAAGUUCCUUCGAAGAGUCGAGUUGUUUGGGAAUGCAGCUCUAAGUGGGUGGUAAAUUCCAUCUAAAGCUAAAUAUUGGCGAGAGACCGAUAGCGAACAAGUACAGUGAUGGAAAGAUGAAAAGAACUUUGAAAAGAGAGUGAAAAAGUACGUGAAAUUGUUGAAAGGGAAGGGCUUGAGAUCAGACUUGGUAUUUUGUAUGUUACUCUCUCGGGGGUGGCCUCUACAGUUUACCGGGCCAGCAUCAGUUUGAGCGGUAGGAUAAGUGCAAAGAAAUGUGGCACUGCUUCGGUAGUGUGUUAUAGUCUUUGUCGAUACUGCCAGCUUAGACUGAGGACUGCGGCUUCGGCCUAGGAUGUUGGCAUAAUGAUCUUAAGUCGCCCGUCUUG
rnacentral:rRNA from 1 species